AGCGCACGCAGGCGGUUUGUUCAGUCAGAUGUGAAAUCCCCGGGCACCACCUGGGAAAUGCAACCGAUACUGGCAGGCAUGAGUCUCGUAGAGGGGGUCAGAGUGCCAGGUGUAGCGGUGAAAUUCGGAGAGAUCUGGAGGAAUGCCGGGUGCGAAGGCGGCCCCCUGGGCGAAGACUGACGCUCAGGUGCGAAAGCGUAGGGAGC
rnacentral:rRNA from 1 species